rnacentral:rRNA from 1 species
UACGAAGGGGGCUAGCGUUGUUCGGAAUUACUGGGCGUAAAGGGCGCGUAGGCGGUGUGUCAAGUCAGGCGUGAAAGCCCCGGGCUCAACCUGGGAACCGCGCUUGAGACUGGCACGCUCGAGUUCGGGAGAGGAUGGUGGAAUUCCCAGUGUAGAGGUGAAAUUCGUAGAUAUCUGGAAGAACACCGGUGGCGCAAGCGGAUUGCUGGGCCAUAACUGACACUGAGGAACGAAAGCUAGGGGAGCGAAUGGG